UACAGAGGGUGCAAGCGUUAAUCGGAAUUACUGGGCGUAAAGCGUGCGUAGACGGUUACAUAAGUCGGGUGUGAAAGCCCCGGGCUCAACCUGGGAAUUGCAUUCGAGACUGCGUAGCUAGGGUGCGGAAGAGGGAAGCGGAAUUUCCGGUGUAGCGGUGAAAUGCGUAGAUAUCAGAAGGAACAUCAGUGGCGAAGGCGGCUUCCUGGACCGAAUACUGACGAUCAGGUGCGAAAGCGUGGGGAGCAAACAGG
rnacentral:rRNA from 1 species